AAUUUGGAGACUAUUAAUGACUUAAGACUGUGAGCAUCCACUUCUCUAUUUGCUAGACACUGGUAGAGCCUCAAAGAAGACAGCUAUAUCUGGCUCCUGUCAACAGGCUCUUGUUGGCGUCUGCCCAAUGUCUGGGUUUGGUGGUUGUUUAUGGGGUGGAUCCCCAAGUGAGGCAUUCUCUUGAUGGUCAUUUGUUCAGGCUCUGCUCCGAACAUUGUCUCUGUAACUCCUUCCAUGGUAUUUUGUUUCCCAUUCUCAGAAGGAACAAAUUAUCCACACUUUGGUCUUCGUCCUUGAGUUUCAUGUGUUUUGCAAAUUAUAUCUUGGGUAUUUUAAGUUUCUGGGCUAAUAUCCACUUGUCAGUGAGUGCAAAUCAUGUGUGUUCUUUUGUGAUUGGGUUACCUCACUCAGGAUGAUAUCCUCCAGAUACAUCCAUUUGCCUAAUGAUUUCAUAAAUUCAUUGUUUUUAAUAGCUGAGUAGUACUCCAUUAUGUAAAUGUACCACAUUUUCUGUAUCCAUUCCUCUGUUGCGGGACAUCUGGGUUCUGUCCAGCUUUUGGCUAUUAUAAAUAAGGCUGCUAUGAACAUAGUGGAGCAUAUGUCUUAUUACAAGUUGGAACAUCUUCUGGGUAUAUGCCCAAGAGAGGCAUUGCUGGAUCUUCUGGUAGUACUAUGCCCAAUUUUUGGAGGAAACGCCAAACUGAUUUCCAGAGCGUUUGUACAGGCUUGCAAUCCCACCAGCAGUAGACAAAUGUUUCUUUUUCUCCACAUCCUCACAGCAUAUGCUGAAAACUGAAUUUUUGAUCUUAGCCAUUCUGACUGGCGUGAGGUGGAAUCUCAGGGUUGUUUUAUUUCGCAUUUCCCUGAUGAUUAAAAAUGUUGAACAUUUUUUCAGGUGCUUCUCAGCCAUUCGGUAUUCCUCAGUUGAGAAUUCUUUCUUUAGCUCUGACCCCAUUUUUUAAUGGUUUUAUUUGAUUUUCUGGAAGCCAGCUUCUUGAGUACUUUGUAUAUAUUGGAUAUUAGUCCCCUAUCAGAUUUAGGAUUGGUCAAUAUCCUUUCCCAAUUUGUUGGUGGCCUUUUUGUCUUAUUGACGGUGUCUUUUGCCUUACAGAAGCUUUGCAAUUUUGUGAGGUCCCAUUUGUUGUUUCUUGAUCUUACAGCACAAGCCAUUGCUGUUCUGUUCAGGAAUUUUUCCCCUGGACAAAUUUUCCCCUAUAUCUUCGAGGCUUUGUCCUCUGUAAGUUUCAUGGUUUUAUGUAAAGUUCCUUGAUCCACUUCAGCCUUGAGCUUUGUACACCAAGAUAAGAAUGGAUCAAUUCCCAUUCUUCUACAUGAUAACCGCCAGUUGUGCCAGCACCAUUUGUUGAAAAUGCUGUCUUUUAUUCCACUGGAUGGUUUUAUCUCCCUUGUCAAAGAUCAAGUGACCAGAGGUGUGUGGGUUCAUUUCUGGGUCUUCAAUUCUAUUCCACUGAUCUCCCUGUCUGUCGCUGUACCAGUACCAUGCAGUUUUUAUCAUACUUGCUAUAUAGUAUAGCUUGAGAUCAGGCAUGGUCAUUCCCCCAGAGGUUCUUUUAUUGUUGAAAAUAAUUUUUGCUAUCCUAGGUUUUUUGUUAUUCCAGAUGAAUUUGCAAAUUGCCCUUUCUAACUCUGUAAAAAAUUGAGUUGGAAUUUUGAUGGGGAUUGCAUUAAAUCUGUUCAAUGCUUUCGGCAGGAUAGCCAUUUUUACUAUAUUAAUCCUGCUAAUCCAUGAGCAUGGGAGGUCUUUCCAUCUUCUGAGAUCUUCUUUGAUUUCUCUCUUCAGAGACUUGAAGUUCUUGUCAGAGAGAUCAUUCACUUCCUUAGUUAGAGUCACACCAAGGUAUUUUAUAUUAUUUGUGACUAUUGUGAAGGGUGUUGUUUCUCUAAUUAUUUUCUCAGCCCAUUUAUCCUUUGUGUAGAGAAGUGGUACUUAUUUGUUUGUGUUAAUUAUAUAUCCAGCUACUGCACUGAAGCUGUUUAUCAGGUUUAUUAGUUCUCUGGUGGAAUUUUUAGGGUUACUUAUAUAUACUAUCAUAUCAUCUGCAAAUAGUGAUAUUUUGACUUCUUCCUUUCUAAUUUGUAUCCCCUGAUCUCCUUUUGUUGUACAUUUGCUCUGGCUAGGACUUCAAGUACUAUAUUGAAUAGGUAGGGAGAAAGUGGGCAGCCUUGUAUAGUCCCUGAUUUUAGUGGGAUUGGUUCAAGUUUCUCUCCAUGUAGUUUGAUGUUGGCUACGUGUUUGCUGUAUAUUGCUUUUAUUAUGUUUAGGUAUGGGCCUUGAAUUCCUUAUCUUUCCAAGACUUUUAUCAGGAAUGGGUGAUGAAUUUUGUCAAAUGCUUUCUCAGCAUCUAAUGAGAGUAUCAUGUGUUUUUGUUUUUGACUUUUUUAUGUAGUGGAUUACAUUGCUGGAAUUCCAUAUAUUAAACCAUCUCAGCAUACCUGGGGUGAAGCCUACUUGAUCAUGAUGGAUAAUCUUUUUGAUGUGUUCUUGGAUUCGAUUUUCGAGGAUUUUAUUGAGUAUUUUUGCAUCGAUAUUCAUAAGGGAAAUUGGUCUGACGUUCUCUUUCUUUGUUGGAUCUUUGUGUGGUUUAGGUAUCAGAGUAAUUGUGGCUUCACAGAAUGAAUUUGAUAGAGUACAUUCUGUUUCUAUUUUGUGAAAUAGUUUGAGGAGAAUUGGAAUUAGGUCUUCUUUGAAGGUCUAACAGAACUCUGCACUAGACCCAUCUGGUCCAGGACGUUUUUUGGUUAGGAUACUAUUAAUGACUGCUUCUAUUUCUUUAGGGGGUAUAGGGGUAUUUAGGUCGUUAAUCUGAUCCGGAGUUAACUUUGGUACCUGGUAUUUGUCUAGAAAAUUGUCCAUUUUAUCCUGGUUUUCCAGUUUUGUUGAGUAUAGCCUUUGGUAAUAGGAUCUGAUGAUGUUUUGUAUUUCCUCAGGUUCUGUUGUUAUGUCUCCCUUUUAACUUCUGAUUUUGUUAAUUAGGAUACUGUCCCUGUGCUCUCUAGUUAGUCUGGUUAAGGGUUUAUCUAUCUUGUUGAUUGUCUC
rnacentral:lncRNA from 1 species